AUGAAUAUUAUAGAGGCUGAAGUCAUCAAGGAGAAAAUUAAACCAGCCUCUGUAAAGAAAGAACUUGAGAUAAUUAAAGAAAAACCCAAGCCAGCACCAAAGAAAGAGGCUGAAGUCAUCAAAGAGAAAGCUAAACCAGCUCCUGAAAAGAAAGAAGCUGAAGUCAAGGAGAAAGCUAAAGCAGCUCCUGUAAAGAAAGAGCCUGAAGUUGCUAAAGAAAAGGCUCCUGAACCAAAAUCCCAAAAAGAACCUGAAGUUGUUAAAGAGAAAGCUAAACCGGUCCCUAAGUUCAAAGAAGCUGAUAUCAUCAAGGAAAAAUCUAAACCAGCCCCUGAGAAGAAAGAGGCUGAAGCCAUCAAGGAAAAAGUUAAACCAGCUCCUGUAAAGAAAGAGCCUGAUGCUGUUAAAGAAAAGGCUCCUGAACGGAAACACAAAAUAGAGGCUGAAGUCAUCAAAGAGAAAGCUAAACCUGUCCCUAAGAAGAAAGAGGUGGAAAUUAUUGAGGAGAAAGUUAAACCAGCUCCUAUAAAGAAAGGUAAGGAUUCAGUUAAAAAAUCUGCACAAAUUGAUGAUUUGAUAAUGUAUGAUGAUCAUUUAUCACAACAAACCAUUCGGUUUUACAGAGCCAGAGGUUCCUAAAGAAAAGACACUUGAAGCAACACCAGAACCUGCAAAGAGAGGUAUUAUAUGUGUGUUUUUCUGGUAAUCUGUGUGAUUUUAAUCUGUUUAAGUUUUUAAGGGUUUUGCUCUGAAACAUUUUAUUUUAUCUUCUAAAACCUUUCAGUUGAAGCUCCAAAAGAAAGGGCGAAACUAGUCCCUAAAGAAAAAGGUACACAUUUAGUAUAUGACCUAAUACUGCUGAUUUAUCAACAUAUCAAUAGAUGUUGGCAAAAACAGUCAAUCAUGGCUCGUUUAUAUGCUUGCUUUGCUAGUAUUACAGAAAUGUGUAUUACAGGAUAUUUGACAACUUAUGUGUUAACUUAUAACAUCACAGCUGCUAUUUUAAAGAUAACAUCUGAAGUUAAACCUUCAUGCUUUGCAGCACCUGAGAUAACUAAAGAAAAACCAAAACCAGCACCAAAGAAAGGUACUGCAAUUUUUCAUAAGAAUAAAGCCAUAAAAGUCCCUGAUUUUAAGUAAAUG
ensembl:lncRNA